CGAAGCGAAAGCGGAGCGACCCUUCGGGGAGCAAUCACAGGUGCUGCAUGGCUGUCGUCAGCUCGUGUCGUGAGAUGUUCGGUUAAGUCCGCUAACGAGCGCAACCCUCGCCGCGUGUUAUACGUGUCACGCGGGACUGCCAGUCUUAAGCUGGAGGAAGGUGGGGAUGACGUCAAGUCAGCAUGGCCUUUAUGUCCUGGGCUACACACACGCUACAAUGGCCGGUACAAUGGGUCGCGAAGUCGCGAGGCGAAGCCAAUCCACAAAGCCGGUCUCAGUUCAGAUUGCAGGCUGCAACCCGCCUGCAUGAAGACGGAGUUGCUAGUAACCGCAGGUCAGCUAUACUGCGGUGAAUACGUUCCCGGGCCUUGUACACACCGCCCGUCACGUCAUGGGAGCUGGUAACACCUGAAGCCGGUAUCCGAACCGCAAGGAGGGAGCCGUCGAGGGUGGGGCUGGUGACUGGGACGAAGUCGUAACAAGGUAGGUGUACCGGAAGG
rnacentral:rRNA from 1 species